UUAUUAUAUUGUUAGGCUGCGUACUCACCAUCGGAAGAAGUAUUCAGGGCGUGCGAGGGUUGUCAUUGAGCUCUUACUUAGAAAUAGUGAUAAUUACUUGGUUGCAUGGAGGCUUAUUCAUGAAGCUGCUGACUACAAAACAGCGUAUUGGUGCCUGUUCACUGAUACUCGUACUCUAAAUCAAAAAGGGCUUCUCAAAAAUAAGUGCAAACAUACCAAAUAUACAAAUGGGUACAGAAAGCAUCUGUAUGUAUUUCUUGUCUCCUUUCCUGUUUGUGUUCAUUUGUUUGCUUUGUAUUCAUUUUAUUUUUGGGUUUUGUAUGACACCAUUUCAUUUCUCCAUGCAGAGGGAAGGUCAAAAUUUAUGAUAAAUUUCUGCUUGAUGCCGAAUAAUUUUUGCGAAAGCUUUACGCUGCCCCUGCAGCGGAACCAACAGAUGAAGGGUACCGCAUAUUCCAGACUCUGUUUGUGCUGUUCGGUGAAGGUCCAAGAUUUGGUCCGGUGGACAGUCGCACGUUUCAGUCAAUCCUAAAAUCCAUAUCUGAUGUGGCUGCCAUUGGGAAUGGCCGGCUGCAUAAUCUGAUCAAGAACUGGAGGAGCAUGAGCUUUACAACUUUGGUCUUGCACUUACUUCUCUUGGAGGAAGCCAUCAUUGACAAAAUAGUAAGAGAGCGUGGACAUGUGCUGGAUGGGAAGUUUUGCCGUCUGGUUGAUGAAGUUCAGAUUCACCGUACAGUGCUGGCCAAGCGCUUUUGUUCUCUGUUUGCAAAUGUGAAGGAAUUGAACUCGUACCCAGCAUUGAGAUGUGAGGCACACAGGGUUCCUGUUGAAGCUGAUAAUCAAUUGGGGCCUUUCACAAUUGCAAUCUCUGACCCUUCUGCCCGUGGCCAUAUGACCUUGGAACAGUUGACAGAUAACUUCUUGUACCUUUUGAGGUUUGAUUACGAGCUAGUCCUUGGAAUUCUAGCAAGGAUGGAGGGCUUUGAUGAUGUCCUCAACCUCAAGACGCUAAGCGUCUCACAAGAAACAACAGAUCAAGUUCAGUUUGCUACAAAGACCUUCUGAUGUAGCUAGUUCCUGGAACUCUAGCAAGGAUGGAUGGCUUCGAUCAUGUGCUCAACCUCAAGAUUAAGCGGCUGACAAGCAACAAGAGUUCCAAGUUUAGUUUGCUACAAAGACCUUCUGAUGUAGUUCAUGGAAUUCUAGCAAUGAUGAAUGGCUUCGAUCAUGUCGUCAACCGACGCUAAGCGGCUGACAAGCAACAAUAGUUCAAGUUUAGUUUGCUACAAAGGCCUUCUGAUGCUCAACCUCAAGAUUAAGCGGCUGACAAGCAACAACAGUUCCAAGUUUAGUUUGCUACAAAGACCUUCUGAUGUAGUUCAUGGAAUUCUAGCAAUGAUGGAUGGCUUCGAUCAUGUCCUCAACCUCAAGACGCUAAGCGGCUGACAAGCAACAAUAGUUCAAGUUUAGUUUGCUACAAAGGCCUUCUGAUGUAGCUAGUUUAUGCUAGCAUUGAUGGAUGGAUUCGAUCAUGUGCUCAACCUCAAGACGUUGAUGAUUUACCACGUUUGUUUGUGUUUAACCAUUUGACUACACAACAUUUGUAAUAAUAUAUGUAGUAGCUACCUGGUACAUUGCGUAGUUAUGUCGCAAACCGAUGACUGGAGGGCUCUUUCUUUUGCUAAUCAACUCAUUGGUCUUAUUUUCUCCAUCCUUUGAACUGAAGCGCUCUUUCUUUUGUAUAACCACGUCCAUAUGAUGCAUGCUUGCAUGGCCUAAUUGCUGUAUAAUGCAUCCAAAAUCUGAUUGAGGACAACGAAACCUCUUUGCGACAAGCCGAGAUUUCUAAAUGGUG
rnacentral:lncRNA from 1 species